rnacentral:hammerhead_ribozyme from 1 species
GCCUGCUGACGAGUCCCAAAUAGGACAAAACAAUCGUCCAGUAC